GUAGGAGGCAAGCGUUAUCCGGAUUCACUGGGCGUAAAGCGCGUGCAGGUGGCGCGGUAAGUUGGGUGUGAAAUCUCCCGGCUCAACUGGGAGAGGUCAUUCAAUACUACCGUGCUUGAGAGCAGAAGAGGAAGAUGGAAUUCCCGGUGUAGUGGUGAAAUGCGUAGAUAUCGGGAGGAACACCAGUGGCGAAGGCGAUCUUCUGGUCUGUUUCUGACACUCAUACGCGACAGCUAGGGUAGUAAACGGGAUUAGAGACCCCGGUAAUCCUAGCCGUAAACGAUGUGAACUUGGCGUUGGUGGGUUAAACUCCAUCAGUGCCGCAGCAAACGCGAUAAGUUCACCGCCUGGGGACUACGGCCGCAAGGUUA
rnacentral:rRNA from 1 species